UGAUUAAUUUAACAUUACUAUCAGGGACGAAAGCCAGAAAUUAAAAUUUAGGGGGCCAAAAUUUAGAUUUAAUAGAAAAAAAAUUCGACAUCGAAGAGUAAAAAGAAAAAAUUUGUCAGAUUCACUGAUAACAAUAAUAUGCUCACAAAAGAGCAAGACUGUAAGAGUUGAAGGAAAAUGACCAAAAAAUUCGAAAAAUAAAU
rnacentral:lncRNA from 1 species